rnacentral:lncRNA from 1 species
GCCGGGCCCAGCCGUCCCGCAGAAGCAUGGCCAGGGCGGGUGCCUGGGCGAUGGCGGCAGYGCUGCUGCUGCUGCUGCUCUGUGCAGAGGCCGCCAGCCACCGCCUGCGGAAGCGCGACACCUCGGACGCGUCCCAGCCGCAGACCAAGCCCAUGAGCUACGUGGGGAAGGCCAGCUCCAUCGCCCAGGAGUGGCUGGAGAAGAUCAGCGUCCCCGCCGUGCGGGAGAAAAUCAGCAAGAGCUCGGAUGUGGUGGUGACCUACAUGGGGAUCUUCGCGGACCAGCUCUACCACUGGUGGUGCGGGGAGCAGUGAGCGUCCAGCACCCUGUCCCCAAUAAAUCCAAGGUGCUGCCGCAGCCGCUGCUUGUGCCGCUCCCUGCGCCCCACGGUGCCCGUGCCCCGGCUCUGCCGCCGCCGUCAGGCUCUGGCUGGGAAACCUGCUCAGCUCUGGAGGUGGGAGCAGGUGGUGCCCAGGUCUGCCCCGGUGCAGCGUGUGCAUGUCCACCUGUGUGCACCGUGCGGGGUGCGUGUCCAUCCGUCUCUGCCCUGCGCACCGUGCAGCGUGUGCACGUCUGUCUGCGUCCACCCCUGUGCAGCGUGUGCAUGUCCACCCGUGUGCCUACGUGCACCGUGUGGCACGUGCGUGUGCUCCCACGUGCACGGCGCGGUGUGUGCGUGUCUGUGCCUGCCUGCGGCGUGUGCGCGUCCCCCGCACGGGGGGCUCCCGGGCCGUGUGCUGCGUGCAGUGGACGCCCAUGUUAUUUUUGCUGCAGCGGCCCCAGGAUGUUGCAGGGUUAUUUUAGUCCUCGUCCCCGUGCUUCGUUUUCUUUUUUGUUUCUUUUGCAAACCACCGCUCUGCUGGUCCGGGCCCGGGG